UACGUAGGGGGCUAGCGUUGUCCGGAUUUAUUGGGCGUAAAGAGCGUGUAGGCGGCCAUGUAGGUCCGGUGUGAAAACUCGAGGCUUAACCUCGAGAUGUCAUCGGAAACCAUUUGGCUAGAGUCCGGAAGAGGAGAGUGGAAUUCCUGGUGUAGCGGUGAAAUGCGCAGAUAUCAGGAGGAACACCAAUGGCGAAGGCAGAUCUCUGGGCCGUAACUGACGCUGAGGAGCGAAAGCAUGGGGAGCGAACAGG
rnacentral:rRNA from 1 species